AAUGAACGCUGGCGGCAGGCCUAACACAUGCAAGUCGUACGGAUCCUUCGGGAUUAGUGGCGGACGGGUGAGUAACGCGUGGGAACAUACCCGUUGGUACGGAAUAGCCUCGGGAAACUGGGAGUAAUACCGUAUGUGGUCGAGAGACGAAAGAUUUAUCGCCAAAGGAUUGGCCCGCGUUGGAUUAGGUAGUUGGUGGGGUAAUGGCCUACCAAGCCGACGAUCCAUAGCUGGUUUGAGAGGAUGAUCAGCCACACUGGGACUGAGACACGGCCCAGACUCCUACGGGAGGCAGCAGUGGGGAAUCUUAGACAAUGGGGGAAACCCUGAUCUAGCCAUGCCGCGUGAUCGAUGAAGGCCUUAGGGUUGUAAAGAUCUUUCAGGUGGGAAGAUAAUGACUGUACCACCAGAAGAAGCCCCGGCUAACUCCGUGCCAGCCGCCGCCGUAAAAC
rnacentral:rRNA from 1 species